UUGUAUGUUUGCUUUGUUUUUUUACAGUUUACAUGCUUUCACGGUGCACAAUAGUAGUUAAUACAUAAACUAAAAGUUUCUUGGAAUAGGAAUUGAAAUCAAUACAAAAUAACCCAAAAUUUUCAGAGAAAAGUGGUAGCACAACCCAAAAUCUCCAAAGAAAAAUGGUAGCAUAACCCAAAAUCUCAAAAAACUAUUUCUGUGAACAAUGCUAUGAACAGCAAGGAUGAAUAGUACCCUAUGAAUAGUGCUAAAACUCUAAUGAAUUGAAUACUUUGAUACCAUGUUAAGAUUUAA
rnacentral:misc_RNA from 1 species